UGUCCAGUAGCACCUUAGAGACCAACUAAGUUUGUUCUGGGUAUGAGCUUUCAUGUGCAUGCACACUUCUUCAGAUACCUGUGUGCAUGCACAAACUUAGUUGGUCUCUAAGGUGCUACUGGACA